GACGAACGCUGGCGGCGUGCUUAACACAUGCAAGUCGAACGAUGAAGCCGGAGCUUGCUCUGGUGAAUUAGUGGCGAACGGGUGAGUAACACGUGAGUAACCUGCCCUUGACUCUGGGAUAACUGCGGGAAACUGUAGCUAAUACCGGAUACGACCCUCGGAGGCAUCUCCUGGGGGUGGAAAGAAUUUCGGUCAAGGAUGGACUCGCGGCCUAUCAGCUAGUUGGUGAGGUAAAGGCUCACCAAGGCGACGACGGGUAGCCGGCCUGAGAGGGUGACCGGCCAGACUGGGACUGAGACACGGACCAGACUCCUACGGGAGGCAGCAGUGGGGAAUAUUGCACAAUGGGCGCAAGCCUGAUGCAGCAACGCCGCGUGAGGGAUGACGGCCUUCGGGUUGAAAACCUCUUUUAGCAGGGAAGAAGCGAAAGUGACGGUACCUGCAGAAAAAGCACCGGCUAACUACGUGCCAGCCGCCGCGGUAA
rnacentral:rRNA from 1 species